rnacentral:ribozyme from 1 species
GGGUCUCGAUGCGUAGUCACCUCCUCGUGGUGAGACCUGGUAAUUGGUAUCGAUUUUUCUUCAAAUAAUUUUUCGAGAAUUAUUCGUUUAAAAAUCGAUACCAAGCUAAGAACUAC